rnacentral:lncRNA from 1 species
GGCCCUUCCUUCCCCGUGCUGUUCCAGCAGCAACCAAACACAAAACCAUGCUCCCCCCAAUCUCCUUCCCUCCUUUCUCCCUCCCCAAAAGCAAUUUGACUGAAAGCAGUAUUUGAAUGAGGAUUUCAAACACUGACUCAAGCUUUCUCUUCAGCUCACCAUGUGAGAGAACUGCACAGAGUAAAUGGUCGAUUGCAGUGAGCACGCCGGGUGUAAUUAGGUUCAGUAUUUGCUGGGUAUUGAAGAAGAGAAUGAAUCAGAUGCACCUAAACUGCAGGGAUGCCCUGUACAUCACUGUGCUCCUGUGGGUGUUGCACAAAAGGGACCUUGGAUCUGGCCCUCUCUGUCUGUGCCGUACAGUCUCCUCUCUGAGCUGCUCAGGCAGGUUUUCAAAACCAUGAUUUCUUUGCAGCCAUCACCAGAAGGUUCAUCUCAUUGACUCUUCCUACUGAAACAGCCUCUUCCAUGGCCAAGAAUUGAGUAUCGCAACUCGGUGAGCUUCAUCUAUCAUGUCCAGACAACGUGGAAUGCUUUUCCACCAUUACAUGUUCAUCAAGAAUCACAAUUGCAUUCACCUGACAGUUAGGAUUACAGUAUCAUAUCAGCCAGGCCAUCACUUUUGCAAUCUUCACUGGCAAAGUAGGCAGCUAUUCUGUGGCUUCACGCUGGGGCAUCUUGGAACACACUUUCUGUGGCUUGUUUGGCCUUGCUGAACGUGACAAACUGGACAUAAGAAGGCAUUAUAAGUACUGGGUGAAUGCUCAUGUCUUUGCUGUCCAUUGGAACAGUGUUAAAAUAAAGCUCCUCUUGACAUGCUUAGGUAUAAGCAUUGUUUCCAGGUAGGAAAGUGUUCUGAAGAUUUUAAGCCCGGUGAUUUUAAAAAUGCUCCCUUUGAAACAAAAGGAUCUCGGCAGGGAUUUUGGCUGAUGCAUCUGUGAGGCAAAGGGGAAUAUAUCAGCAUGACUUAGCCUCUGGCUCCCGGGGAUGGUUCCGCGCGUGGGAAACGCGGCUGCGAGAGCUCCGGCCAAGGCGCGGUGAUGCGGGCGCUGUCCGUGGUGCUACCCCUCCGGCCGUGCGGGGCGGGAGUGGGUGGGCGUGGGCUAAGGAUGCCGGCCGGCGUGGGUUGUGCAGGGC